rnacentral:rRNA from 1 species
CCAAGGAGUCUAACAUGUGCGCGAGUCAUUGGGAUCAUGAGACCUAAAGGCGCAAUGAAAGUGAAGGUCAACCACGCGUUGACCGAGGGAGGAUGGGUCGCGUCGCGGCGCGGUCCCGCACUCCCGGGGCGUCUCGUUCUCAUCGCGAGAAGAGGCGCACCCAGAGCGUACACGUUGGGACCCGAAAGAUGGUGAACUAUGCCUGGUCAGGACGAAGUCAGGGGAAACCCUGAUGGAGGUCCGUAGCGAUUCUGACGUGCAAAUCGAUCGUCGGAACUGGGUAUAGGGGCGAAAGACUAAUCGAACCAUCUAGUAGCUGGUUCCCUCCGAAGUUUCCCUCAGGAUAGCUGGCACUCGUGCGGAAAAAUUUUGAACGAGUCUCAUCCGGUAAAGCGAAUGAUUAGAGGCCUUGGGGCCGAAACGACCUCAACCUAUUCUCAAACUUUAAAUGGGUGAGAUCUCUGGCUUGCUUGAACCAUGAAGCCACGAGAUUUCGGAUCAGAGUGCCAAGUGGGCCACUUUU